AUAUGCUAAUAAAGAUGUGGGAUUGGGAGAAGGGCUGGGAGUGCACUCAGACCUAUGAGGGACAUUCUCAUUAUGUGAUGCAAUCAGUUUUUAAUCCAAAAGAUUGCAAUACAUUUGCAAGUGCAUCACUUGAUGGAACUAUAAAGAUUUGGAAUCUGAAUUCCCCUGCUCCAAUUUCUACAUUGGAAGGGCACUCAAAAGGGGUAAAUUCUGUUGAUUACUUCAUCAACAGUGAAAAAACAUAUCUGCUAAGCGGUUCUGAUGACUAUACUGUCAAGGUUUGGGACUACGAAGCCAAAACUUGUGUCCAUACAUUAGAAAGCCAAACGAACAAUGUUUGUGCAGUCUGUGUCCAUCCAGAGUUUCCCAUCAUAAUUACAUCUUCUGAGGAUGGGACUAUCUGUAUAUGGGAUGCAAACACUUACAGACUUGAGAACACAUUGAAUUAUGGUCUUGAAAGAGUCUGGACUGUUGGAUGCAAGAAAGGCUCAGACCAGGUUGCAUUUGGUUGUGAUAAUGGAACCAUUAUGAUCAGCGUUAGUGGCUCAAAAUGAGAGGCAACAAUUCCAAUAAAUAAUUGUGGAAAUAAUUCUAGCCACCAUUAGUGUUGCUUUUGCUGUUUGUAAAAUAAUGGUUACUAGCUUGUAUUUUUAUUUCAAGUAUUAGACCUUGGUGCCCACUCUCGGACGGCCUUAUCUUGACCAUAAGAUAAGGCACCGAUUAUUACAUGUACCAGGAGGAAUAACGUGUACUAGUCUUGUACGCUCUUUUGCCUUAUUUGGAACAAGAGAUUGCAUAUAAAAAAAAGAGCGUACAAGACUAGUACACGUUA
rnacentral:misc_RNA from 1 species